rnacentral:rRNA from 1 species
GUCGAGAAUCUUCCGCAAUGCGCGAAAGCGUGACGGAGCGACACCGCGUGAUGGAUGAAGUCCUUCGGGGCGUAAACAUCUUUUAUAAAGGAGGAAAUUUUUGACGUUACUUUAUGAAUAAGGGGCUCCCAAUCUCGUGCCAGCAGGAGCGGGAAUACGAGAGCCUCAAGCGUUAUCCGGAAUCAUUGGGCGUAAAGGGUGCGUAGGUGGUUUGAUUAGUCUCCCGUUAAAACUUCGAGCUUAACUCGAAAAGAGCGGGGGAAACGGUCAAACUAGAGUAUGUGAGAGGUGUGUGGAACUCAUGGUGUAGGGGUGAAAUCCGUUGAUAUCAUGGGGAACACCAAAAGCGAAGGCAGCACACUGGCACAUCACUGACACUGAGGCACGAAACCUAAGGUAGCGAAUGGGAUUAGAAACCCCAGUAGUCC